GGUUAAGUUAAUAAGGGCGCACGGUGGAUGCCUUGGCACUAGAAGCCGAUGAAGGACGUGACUAACGACGAAAUGCCUUGGGGAGCUGUAAGUAAGCAAUGAUCCAGGGAUGUCCGAAUGGGGGAACCCGGCAGGUAAUGCCUGUCACUCACUACUGUUAAGGUAGUGUAGAGGAAGACGCAGUGAACUGAAACAUCUAAGUAGCUGCAGGAAGAGAAAGCAAAAGCGAUUGCCUUAGUAGCGGCGAGCGAAACGGCAGGAGGGCAAACCGAAGAGUUUACUCUUCGGGGUUGUAGGACUGCAAUGUGGACUUAAAGAGUAUAGAAGAAUUACCUGGGAAGGUAAGCCAAAGAGAGUAAUAGCCUCGUAUUUGAAAUAUUCUUUAUACCUAGCAGUAUCCUGAGUACGGCGAGACACGCGAAAUCUCGUCGGAAUCCGGGAGGACCAUCUCCCAACCCUAAAUACUCUCUAGUGACCGAUAGUGAACCAGUACCGUGAGGGAAAGGUGAAAAGUACCCCGGAAGGGGAGUGAAAUAGAACCUGAAACCGUGUGCCUACAACAAGUUCGAGCCCGUUAAUGGGUGAGAGCGUGCCUUUUGUAGAAUGAACCGGCGAGUUACGAUAUGAUGCGAGGUUAAGUUGAAGAGACGGAGCCGUAGGGAAACCGAGUCUUAAUAGGGCGGAUUAGUAUUAUGUCGUAGACCCGAAACCAUGUGACCUACCCAUGAGCAGGUUGAAGGUGCGGUAAGACGCACUGGAGGACCGAACCAGGGCACGUUGAAAAGUGCUUGGAUGACUUGUGGGUAGCGGAGAAAUUCCAAACGAACUUGGAGAUAGCUGGUUCUCUCCGAAAUAGCUUUAGGGCUAGCGUCGACAUUUGAGAAUCUUGGAGGUAGAGCACUGUUUGGAUGAGGGGGCCAUCUCGGUUUACUGAUUUCAGAUAAACUCCGAAUGCCAAUGAUUUAUGGUCGGCAGUCAGACUGCGAGUGCUAAGAUCCGUAGUCGAAAGGGAAACAGCCCAGACCACCAGCUAAGGUCCCAAAAUAAUUGUUAAGUGGAAAAGGAUGUGGGGUUGCACAGACAACUAGGAUGUUAGCUUAGAAGCAGCUAUUCAUUCAAAGAGUGCGUAAUAGCUCACUAGUCGAGUGACCCUGCGCCGAAAAUGUACCGGGGCUAAAACAAUUUACCGAAGCUGUGGAUAACACAUUAGUGUUAUGGUAGGAGAGCGUUCUAUGUGUGAAGAAGGUAUACCGUGAGGAGUGCUGGAACGCAUAGAAGUGAGAAUGCCGGUAUGAGUAGCGAAAGAUGGGUGAGAAUCCCAUCCACCGUAAGACUAAGGUUUCCAGGGGAAGGCUCGUCCGCCCUGGGUUAGUCGGGACCUAAGGAGAGACCGAAGGGUGUAUCCGAUGGACAACAGGUUGAUAUUCCUGUACUAGAGUAUGAAGUGAUGGAGGGACGCAGUAGGCUAACUAAAGCGGGCGAUUGGAAGUGCCCGUCUAAGCAGUGAGGUGUGAUAUGAGUCAAAUGCUUGUAUCUGUAACAUUGAGCUGUGAUGGGGAGCGAAGUUAAGUAGCGAAGUUAGUGACGUCACACUGCCGAGAAAAGCUUCUAGCGAUGUAUCAUACUCUACCCGUACCGCAAACCGACACAGGUAGUCGAGGCGAGUAGCCUCAGGUGAGCGAGAGAACUCUCGUUAAGGAACUCGGCAAAAUGACCCCGUAACUUCGGGAGAAGGGGUGCUGACUGAAAGUCAGCCGCAGUGAAUAGGCCCAAGCAACUGUUUAUCAAAAACACAGCUCUCUGCUAAAUCGUAAGGAUGAUGUAUAGGGGGUGACGCCUGCCCGCCGUGCUGGAAGGUUAAGAGGAGUGUUUAGCGACAGGAGAAAGAUCUGAAAUUGAAAGCCCCCAGUAAACGGCGGCCGUAACUAUAACGGUCCUAAGGUAGCGAAAUUCCUUGUCGGGUAAGUUCCGACCCGCACGAAAGGCGUAAUGAUUUGGGCACUGUCUCAACGAGAGACUCGGUGAAAUUUUAGUACCUGUGAAGAUGCAGGUUACCCGCGACAGGACGGAAAGACCCCAUGGAGCUUUACUGCAGUUUGAUAUUGAGUAUCUGUACCACAUGUACAGGAUAGGUAGGAGCCUACGAAGUCGGGACGCCAGUUUCGACUGAGGCGCUGUUGGGAUACUACCCUUGUGUUAUGGCUACUCUAACCCGGAUAGGUUAUCCCUAUCGGAGACAGUGUCUGACGGGCAGUUUGACUGGGGCGGUCGCCUCCUAAAAGGUAACGGAGGCGCCCAAAGGUUCCCUCAGAAUGGUUGGAAAUCAUUCGCAGAGUGUAAAGGUAUAAGGGAGCUUGACUGCGAGAGCUACAACUCGAGCAGGGACGAAAGUCGGGCUUAGUGAUCCGGUGGUUCCGUAUGGAAGGGCCAUCGCUCAACGGAUAAAAGCUACCCUGGGGAUAACAGGCUUAUCUCCCCCAAGAGUUCACAUCGACGGGGAGGUUUGGCACCUCGAUGUCGGCUCGUCGCAUCCUGGGGCUGUAGUCGGUCCCAAGGGUUGGGCUGUUCGCCCAUUAAAGCGGCACGCGAGCUGGGUUCAGAACGUCGUGAGACAGUUCGGUCCCUAUCCGUCGCGGGCGUAGGAAAUUUGAGAGGAUCUGCUCCUAGUACGAGAGGACCAGAGUGGACUUACCGCUGGUGUACCAGUUGUCUUGCCAAAGGCAUCGCUGGGUAGCUAUGUAGGGACGGGAUAAACGCUGAAAGCAUCUAAGUGUGAAACCCACCUCAAGAUGAGAUUUCCCAUAACUUUAUGUUAGUAAGAGCCCUGAGAGAUGAUCAGGUAGAUAGGUUGGAAGUGGAAGUGUGGCGACACAUGUAGCGGACCAAUACUAAUCGCUCGAGGACUUAUCCAAA
rnacentral:rRNA from 1 species